rnacentral:tRNA from 1 species
GGGAUUGUGGCUCAAUGGUAGAGCGCUUGCCUAGCACGUGUGAGGCCCUGGGUUCAAUCCUCAGCACCA